rnacentral:rRNA from 1 species
CGCCUACGGGGGGCAGCAGUGAGGAAUAUUGGUCAAUGGUCGGGAGACUGAACCAGCCAAGCCGCGUGAGGGAGGAAGGUACCGAGUCUCGUCCCCCUCUUUUGUCCGGGACCCCCGCCUGGGCCGCGUCCCCGGAUGAGUGUACCUGAAGAAAAAGCAUCGGCUAACUCCGUGCCCGCCGCCGCGGUACUACGGCGGAUGCGCGCGUUAUCCGGCUUUCUUGGGUUUCC